UUGCUCCCUUAGGUCAGCGGCGGACGGGUGAGUAACACGUGGGUAACCUGCCUGUAAGACUGGGAUAACUCCGGGAAACCGGGGCUAAUACCGGAUGCUUGAUUGAACCGCAUGGUUCAAUCAUAAAAGGUGGCUUUCAGCUACCACUUACAGAUGGACCCGCGGCGCAUUAGCUAGUUGGUGAGGUAACGGCUCACCAAGGCGACGAUGCGUAGCCGACCUGAGAGGGUGAUCGGCCACACUGGGACUGAGACACGGCCCAGACUCCUACGGGAGGCAGCAGUAGGGAAUCUUCCGCAAUGGACGAAAGUCUGACGGAGCAACGCCGCGUGAGUGAUGAAGGUUUUCGGAUCGUAAAACUCUGUUGUUAGGGAAGAACAAGUACCGUUCGAAUAGGGCGGCACCUUGACGGUACCUAACCAGAAAGCCACGGCUAACUACGUGCCAGCAGCCGCGGUAAUACGUAGGUGGCAAGCGUUGUCCGGAAUUAUUGGGCGUAAAGCGCGCGCAGGCGGUUUCUUAAGUCUGAUGUGAAAGCCCCCGGCUCAACCGGGGAGGGUCAUUGGAAACUGGGGAACUUGAGUGCAGAAGAGGGGAGUGGAAUUCCACGUGUAGCGGUGAAAUGCGUAGA
rnacentral:rRNA from 1 species